CAGAGAGAGAAAUAGAAGGAAGCAUUGGGGAUGGGAGUGUCAAAAAAGACAGCUACAUAAACAACAGCCCAAUACCUUUAACUACAGUAUGAUACACUGACGAAGAUAGAGGACUGCUCCAUAUGACAGCACCUAGUAACGGAGGGAGAGAGGAAGGUCCCAAUGCAGAAGACGAGUUGAAGAGAGGAGAAGAGAAAGAGUAGGAUGGGUUGGAGAGUGUGAAAACAGUUGAAGGAGAAGAGAAAGAAGAAAGAGUAGGACGGGUUGGAGAGUGUGAAAACAGUUGAAGGAGAAGAGAAAGAGUAGGACGGGUUGGAGAGUGUGAAAACAGUUGAAGAGAGAAGGAGAAGAGAAAGAGUAGGACGGGUUGGAGAGUGUGAAAACAGUUGAAGGAGAAGAGAAAGAGUAGGAUGGGUUGGAGAGUGUGAAAACAGUUGAAGAGAGAAGGAGAAGAGAAAGAGUAGGACGGGUUGGAGAGUGUGAAAACAGUUGAAGAGAGAAGGAGAAGAGAAAGAGUAGGACGGGUUGGAGAGUGUGAAAACAGUUGAAGGAGAAGAGAAAGAGUAGGACGGGUUGGAGAGUGUGAAAACAAGAAAAGGAGAAGAGAAAGAGUAGGACGGGUUGGAGAGUGUGAAAACAGUUGAAGAGAG
rnacentral:lncRNA from 1 species